rnacentral:rRNA from 1 species
UACGUAGGGUGCGAGCGUUAAUCGGAAUUACUGGGCGUAAAGCGUGCGCAGGCGGUUUUGUAAGCCAGAUGUGAAAUCCCCGGGCUUAACCUGGGAAUGGCAUUUGGGACUGCAAGGCUGGAGUGCGGCAGAGGAGACUGGAAUUCCUGGUGUAGCAGUGAAAUGCGUAGAUAUCAGGAGGAACACCGAUGGCGAAGGCAGGUCUCUGGGCAUCUCCUGACGCUGAGGCGCGAAAGCGUGGGGAGCGAACAGG